GACAGAGGGUGCAAACGUUGCUCGGAAUUACUGGGCGUAAAGCGCGUGUAGGCGGUUCCGCAAGUCAGGUGUGAAAGCCCAGGGCUCAACCCUGGAAGUGCACUUGAUACUACGGAGCUUGAGUACUGAAGAGGAGAGCGGAAUUCCCGGUGUAGAGGUGAAAUUCGUAGAUAUCGGGAGGAACACCAGUGGCGAAGGCGGCUCUCUGGGCCUUACCUGACGCUGAGGAGCGAAAGCGUGGGGAGCGAACAGG
rnacentral:rRNA from 1 species